AUGACGGGUACCUGGUCUGAGAGGAUGACCAUGCACACUGGAACUGAGACACGGUCCAGACUCCUACGGGAGGCAGCAGUAGGGAAUUUUGCGCAAUGGGAGAAAUCCUGACGCAGCGACGCCGCGUGAGUGAUGAAGGCUUUCGGGCUGUAAAACUCUGUUUAGUGGGAAGAAGGGUUUAAGGCUAAUAUCCUUAAGCAUUGACGGUACCACUAGAGUAAGCACCGGCUAACUCCGUGCCAGCAGCCGCGGUAAUACGGAGGGUGCAAGCGUUGAUCGGAAUUGCUGGGCGUAAAGCGAGAGCAGGUGGUUUAAUAAGUCAGAUGUGAAAUCUCUAGGCUUAACCUAGAAACUGCAUCUGAUACUAUUAAACUAGAGUGUAAGAGAGGGUGAUGGAAUUCCCAGUGUAGGGGUAAAAUCCGUAGAUAUUGGGAGGGAACACCGGAGGCGAAGGGCGAUCACCUGGCUUACAGCUGACACUCAUCCUCGAGAGCAUGGGUAGCAAACAGGAUUAGAUACCCUGGUAGUCUAUGCUGUAAACGAUGGACACUAGAUGUUGUGGGAUUUGAUCCCUGCAGUAUCGUAGUUAACGCGUUAAGUGUCCCGCCUGGGGAAUACGGUCGCAAGAUUAAAACUCAAAGAAAUUGACGGGGGCCCGCACAAGCGGUGGAGCAUGUGGUUCAAUUCGAGGCAACGCGAAAAACCUUACCUGGGCUUGACAUCCUGCUCUAAAUCAUAGAGAUAUGGUCUAGUCUUCGGACAAGGCAGGACAGGUGCUGCAUGGCUGUCGUCAGCUCGUGUCGUGAGAUGUUGGGUUAAGUCCUGCAACGAGUGCAACCCUUAUCAUUAGUUGCCACCAUUAAGUUGGGUACUCUAAUGAGACUGCCGGUGUUAAACCGGAGGAAGGUGGGGAUGACGUCAAGUCAUCACGGCCCUUAUGUCCAGGGCUACACACGUGCUACAAUGGUCGGUACAAAGAGCUGCAAACCCGCAAGGGGGAGCUAAUCUCAAAAAGCCGAUCUCAGUUCGGAUCGGAGUCUGCAAUUUGACUUCGUGAAGCUGGAAUCGCUAGUAAUCGCGAAUCAGCAUGUCGCGGUGAAUACGUUCCCGGGCCUUGUACACACCGCCCGUCACACCACGAGAGUUUAUUGUACCAGAA
rnacentral:rRNA from 1 species